UUUAGUUGCACGGAUACGCCAGGAACGCCUAAGUGAGGCAUUAUUAGCACGUACGCACUAUGAGUGUUUUGAGCAGACUCAGCCUAUGCGUGUAACCACCAAGUGCUUCAUCCUUCGGCCUGAAUCUCUGAACUCCUGCACAUCAAUUUUGCACAUUGCCACCAUGCUUUGCAUGUUUAUUUGGUGAUGGUUGGGCAUCACGGACCAUAUUCUGGCAUCAAAAAGCACUUUUAUGCCACUUUUUGAAUCAUUUGCGAGCAUCCCCUUUUGCAGAGUGAAGCAUCUUGUAAUGAUUUUAGGCAUUAUCAUGCAUCUCUAUGCACCUUUAAAUGUAUCUUUUGAGCACUGUGAAGCACUUUUUAUGCAAUUUUGACAACCUCCUAGGAUUUCUUUGAUAGAAAAGGGAGCUCUCCAGGAUCACUUUGCGCGAUGGGCAUUUGACCCACUGCCUCUGAGAAUUCUUGAUAUAAAUCAGCUACCUCGUGCUGGAGAAUUGGGGAUUAAUUCUUAUACAGGUUCUGCCUUUACCAUAUCUACCACCCUUGGCAUUCUUGAACCUACUCAGUCAUUAGAAUGGCCCUUGAGCAUCACUUAUGUGGGGGAGGAUGCUCGACUUUGUAGAUAUGAGGAUGCUGAGGGGGAACCUAUAGUUCAAAGGGACGGUAUCCCCAUUUAUCAUGCCCUUCAUAAGAACUUUGAUUCAAGUGAAAAUCUUCCUACAUUGGGGUAGAGGAUGCUAGAGAAGCCUAGUCUCCAUUGGGCCCCUGGUGGGGUCCAUUUUGAGGGAGGGCAUCAAUAUAUGCGUGGAUACAACACUUGGAAAUUUGGUGUCCUUGACUCACAUGCUGAUGUCUUGAAGGUAUGUGGAUUGGCUGCAACAUGCCAAUGCUCAGCUGGCUACUACGACCGAUGUCCCAACACUAUCAAGGCCUUGUUGGAGGCAUCGUUUUACAAGACCAAUAGCUGGCAUUUUGAUGGGGGUGAACUAGGAAUCACCCUUCUUGAUAUGUACUUCAUCGGUGGAUUGCCAAUGUUGGGAGGCAUGUAUGAAGAAUUCAUACCGAGUAAUGAAGUAAUUUUUUGAGAUCUAUCAACUGCCCCCUCCUGGUCUCCGUGAGUUGAUUGAAAUUUAUCAACUCUUGCACUCGGAGACCAAGAUUAAGUCUAAAGGAGUGCAUUUUGACACUUGGAGGGACUACUUCCAUGGGAACCACCAAGAUAGAGGGGAAAUGAGUUCUAACACCAUCUAGGAUGAAGAACAAAGGGUGAAAGCAAUCAAGGAUUCCAAGAGGCUGAUCAUUCCCCUAGAAGACCCUAGAGGGACCAUGUUUAUUUGGCCGCCUACUUGGUCCUCUUCUUGCGCAAUUUUGCUUUGCCGGCGUCAAGAAGCAACAUCAUUCGACCGGGCUGCUUCUUUGUGGCCUACAGGCUAGCCCAAGGGCAUAAGUAUGCCCUAGCUCAACCAAUUCUUUGCAGCAUUUACCAUGGCCUAGGGGCUAUUGCGCAUGGUACGGCUCCCUCAAGAGAUAACAAGAGUGAGUCUUUUGCCGACAAGGGCUUUCCUAACCUUUUUUUUACCACCUUUCUGGUCCAUUACAUUUUCGGCUAGCUCUCUGCCUAUUUUCCUAAGGGGGACUAACCCUUACACCUCUGGUGCAUUUGAGAUUAAUGAAAGUCUUGCAAGGUACUCUUGCCCUCACAUGCUGAGGAUUGCAGGGAUGAAGGUAGUCUUCAGGUGGUCAGGGGAAGCUCAUAAGCUCUUGCUCGACAUCGCCUUUUUCUCUCGUGGGAGGCCCUUUCCUGUAGGCAGUCCCAUGGAUCAGGCCUAUACAGAUGCGGCCUAUUCUACAGUGAUAAAGGUUGUCGACGAGGAAAGGGUGAAGUCCAACCAAUCCCAAAGGAGAGCAGAGGCUUAAAGCAAGCUUGAGAGGUUAGAAGCAUUGAAUUCCCAUAUGGCUUCAAUUGGCAAAACAUCAACCCAAGUCAUGCAGAGUAUUUCUCAUCUCAAGGAGGAGAUGAAAGUAGCUUAAUAAUCCUUGGUGGCACUGAAGACUAAGAUACGUGAAGCCCUUGAAGACUUCUAGGGGUUCACAAAAUCUUCAAUCUUUUUUCUUUGUCUACCUUCUUUUCAUUCCUUUUGUAGAUAAUUGAUGACUGUCAUCACAAAAAAUUUUGUAACUUUCGAAUUGUGUAUGGAAUGAAUUUUUCUUCUUUCUCA